UUGAACGCUGGCGGCAGGCCUAACACAUGCAAGUCGAACGGUAACAGGAAGAAGCUUGCUUCUUUGCUGACGAGUGGCGGACGGGUGAGUAAUGUCUGGGAAACUGCCUGAUGGAGGGGGAUAACUACUGGAAACGGUAGCUAAUACCGCAUAACGUCGCAAGACCAAAGAGGGGGACCUUCGGGCCUCUUGCCAUCGGAUGUGCCCAGAUGGGAUUAGCUAGUAGGUGGGGUAACGGCUCACCUAGGCGACGAUCCCUAGCUGGUCUGAGAGGAUGACCAGCCACACUGGAACUGAGACACGGUCCAGACUCCUACGGGAGGCAGCAGUGGGGAAUAUUGCACAAUGGGCGCAAGCCUGAUGCAGCCAUGCCGCGUGUAUGAAGAAGGCCUUCGGGUUGUAAAGUACUUUCAGCGGGGAGGAAGGGAGUAAAGUUAAUACCUUUGCUCAUUGACGUUACCCGCAGAAGAAGCACCGGCUAACUCCGUGCCAGCAGCCGCGGUAAUACGGAGAGUGCAAGCGUUAAUCGGAAUUACUGGGCGUAAAGCGCACGCAGGCGGUUUGUUAAGUCAGAUGUGAAAUCCCCGGGCUCAACCUGGGAACUGCAUCUGAUACUGGCAAGCUUGAGUCUCGUAGAGGGGGGUAGAAUUCCAGGUGUAGCGGUGAAAUGCGUAGAGAUCUGGAGGAAUACCGGUGGCGAAGGCGGCCCCCUGGACGAAGACUGACGCUCAGGUGCGAAAGCGUGGGGAGCAAACAGGAUUAGAUACCCUGGUAGUCCACGCCGUAAACGAUGUCGACUUGGAGGUUGUGCCCUUGAGGCGUGGCUUCCGGAGCUAACGCGUUAAGUCGACCGCCUGGGGAGUACGGCCGCAAGGUUAAAACUCAAAUGAAUUGACGGGGGCCCGCACAAGCGGUGGAGCAUGUGGUUUAAUUCGAUGCAACGCGAAGAACCUUACCUGGUCUUGACAUCCACGGAAGUUUUCAGAGAUGAGAAUGUGCCUUCGGGAACCGUGAGACAGGUGCUGCAUGGCUGUCGUCAGCUCGUGUUGUGAAAUGUUGGGUUAAGUCCCGCAACGAGCGCAACCCUUAUCCUUUGUUGCCAGCGGUCCGGCCGGGAACUCAAAGGAGACUGCCAGUGAUAAACUGGAGGAAGGUGGGGAUGACGUCAAGUCAUCAUGGCCCUUACGACCAGGGCUACACACGUGCUACAAUGGCGCAUACAAAGAGAAGCGACCUCGCGAGAGCAAGCGGACCUCAUAAAGUGCGUCGUAGUCCGGAUUGGAGUCUGCAACUCGACUCCAUGAAGUCGGAAUCGCUAGUAAUCGUGGAUCAGAAUGCCACGGUGAAUACGUUCCCGGGCCUUGUACACACCGCCCGUCACACCAUGGGAGUGGGUUGCAAAAGAAGUAGGUAGCUUAACCUUCGGGAGGGCGCUUACCACUUUGUGAUUCAUGACUGGGGUG
rnacentral:rRNA from 1 species